UAGGGAAUCUUCCGCAAUGGACGAAAGUCUGACGGAGCAACGCCGCGUGAGUGAAGAAGGAUUUCGGUUCGUAAAACUCUGUUGUUAGGGAAGAAAAAAUGUAUAGUAACUAUAUACAAAAGAGACGGUACCUAACCAGAAAGCCACGGCUAACUACGUGCCAGCAGCCGCGGUAAUACGUAGGGGGCUAGCGUUGUCCGGAAUCACUGGGCGUAAAGGGUUCGCAGGCGGAAUAACAAGUCAGAUGUGAAAGGCAUGGGCUCAACCCAUGUAAGCAUUUGAAACUGUAAUUCUUGAGAAGUGGAGAGGUAAGUGGAAUUCCUAGUGUAGCGGUGAAAUGCGUAGAUAUUAGGAGGAAUACCUGUGGCGAAGGCGACUUACUGGACACAAAUCUGACGCUGAGGAACGAAAGCGUGGGUAGCAAACAGG
rnacentral:rRNA from 1 species